UACGUAGGGUGCAAGCGUGUCCGGAAUUAUUGGGCGUAAAGAGCUCGUAGGCGGUUUGUUGCGUCGGCUGUGAAAUCCCGAGGCUCAACCUCGGGUCUGCAGUCGAUACGAGCAAACUAGAGUGUUGCAGGGGAGACUGGAAUUCCUGGUGUAGCGGUGAAAUGCGCAGAUAUCAGGAGGAACACCGGUGGCGAAGGCGGGUCUCUGGGCAACAACUGACGCUGAGGAGCGAAAGCGUGGGGAGCGAACAGG
rnacentral:rRNA from 1 species